rnacentral:rRNA from 1 species
GAUGAACGCUAGCUACAGGCUUAACACAUGCAAGUCGAGGGGAAACGGCAUCGAAAGCUUGCUUUUGAUGGGCGUCGACCGGCGCACGGGUGAGUAACGCGUAUCCAACCUGCCCAUCACUUGGGAAUAACCUUGCGAAAGUAAGACUAAUGCCCAAUGACAUCCCACGAAGGCAUCCGAAUGGGAUUAAAGAUUUAUCGGUGAUGGAUGGGGAUGCGUCUGAUUAGCUUGUUGGCGGGGUGACGGCCCACCAAGGCAACGAUCAGUAGGGGUUCUGAGAGGAAGGUCCCCCACAUUGGAACUGAGACACGGGCCAAACUCCUACGGGAGGCAGCAGUGAGGAAUAUUGGUCAAUGGGCGAGAGCCUGAACCAGCCAAGUAGCGUGCAGGAUGACGGCCCUAUGGGUUGUAAACUGCUUUUAUAAGGGAAUAAAGUGGGUCACGUGUGACUUUUUGCAUGUACCUUAUGAAUAAGGACCGGCUAAUUCCGUG